AUGCCCACUCAGCCCCACGUACCCUAUCCUAGCCAACCGCAAAGGCACUCAAAUGAGGGGGGCCCCAAAGGGCCAUGCUGGCAGCCAAGCAAGCAGGGCUCCGUCGUGCAUGGGGCAGUGCUUGGGUGGGGGCUCCCCGCUGCCACCCCCCAUGGCUCAGCGCCUCCCUCCCACACCCAGCCCCACCUCCCGCCCGCGGCCGGGGCUGCCACCAGAACAGGCACCUGCCGCCCAGCCUGUUCGGGAGGGCGAGUUCAGCAGCCGGCAGCACCUGCCUGGGCCUGGCGCCAGCCCCGGCCCGGCGGCACCCAGCCGCCCCUUCCCGGGAACCCCUAUAUGGCACUGGACUUCCCCUUCACUGCACCCUUGGCUCCCAGCACUGGUCUUGGGGCUGCCCAAGACCCCAGUCCAUCCCUUUUCAAGGGCUGGAGGCGGGGAAGGACACUGCUACAAAUGACCCUGGGGAGGCCCCAGCCUUUUGGCUCAACCUCUCCCUGGGACGUGCACAUCACCCCACAGCUCAGCGAGGCCGGACAUGGGACGGGAAGGGGAAGGAUGCGGAUAGGACAAUGCAGGCUUCCUGCGCAGGUGGCCGGACCCAGGGGGAGGAAGGCGGGCAGCAAGGCUUCAGCCUCAGUGCCUCAUCCUCGAGCAGCUGGGAGAGCCCCAUGGGGAUCUUCUGGCCCCCAACCCUCAAAUUAUGCCCCGAGGGGGAGCCUCGGCCCUGGAAUGAGGGCCGGGGGGCCCGAGGCUCCCCGCCAGGCCCCGUCUGUUGGGCCUCACCCAGGAAGCUGCCCUGGUUCUCAGCACACACGCCGGGUAAACAAACACCCCGCUUUUAAUUGCUGCCACGCACAAACCUGUCUGACAGCUCCCGGCCUGCGCUGUCACCUCCCUCCCUCGGCUCAGCACCUGCUCCGGGCACCGCCGGCGCGGAGAGAGGGGGAAGCGGGCGGGGAGAGCCCGGGGGGAGGUGCGGGCCCCAGCCCCCCGCCGGAGCACGGCACCACCGAGGCCCCUUUGUCCCCUGGGCGCUCGGCGGCGGCGGGAGCGCCAUCGGCCCCGGGAGAGGGGAGCGGAGCGCGGCGGAGCGCGCGGGGCGAUGCUCCGCGGAUCCCGCGGGAAUCCGGGGCCGCGCCCGGCCGCUGCGCGCCGCAGCCCAAGGACAAAGCGCUGCGGCCGCGCGGAGCGGGGGGGGCGGCACCGGGGAACCGUCGGGGGCGCUGGGGGGGUACCGGGGCGGGCACCGGCGGCGGGGCCGGGCCGCACUCACCAUGCCGGCGGCGCUGCGGUCCACGCGCGGCUCCGCUCCUUCCCUCGCCGCGUUUGAACGCGCCCCUCGGCCGCGGCCGCGCGGGGAGCGGGCGGAGCCGGCAGCGGCAAAUCGCGGCGCGGAGGCGGGAGGCGCCGGGGCGGGGCGGCUGCGGGGAGGGGCGGCAGAGCCCGGCGGCGAGGACGCGGUUUCCCGCGGCCUCCCCGGGAGCGGAGGGCCGUGCCCGUGGCCGAGCGGAGCCCCGAGGUUCUGCCCCCUGUGCCCGCCACGUGCCCCGGCCGCCGUCGAGGUAUCCGUGCGGCACCGCGACGGCGCGGAGCAUCCCUCGGUGCUUGGCCCUCCGGUUGGGUGACCCGCAGCGCUGCGGCGGGCCACAUCCCAGCACCUCGGUGCCCGCCCUCCCACGGAGCGAUGGUGCUCACAGUGUCCCCAAGCCAAGGUUCGGGGCCGCCCACAUCCGCCCUGCUCGCUGCCAGCUUCCCCCCCCCCACGGUGUGUGCUGCCAGCGCUCACCCACACGCACACACUGUCCCCAUCCCCACAUGCUCAGUGCGGUACCGAGGCUCUCACCGUGUUCCCCACAUCACCCACAUGGCCUCCGAGCUGCAGGGCUGCGGCCCUGA
ensembl:lncRNA